AUUGAACGCUGGCGGCAUGCCUUACACAUGCAAGUCGAACGGUAACAGGUCUUCGGAUGCUGACGAGUGGCGAACGGGUGAGUAAUACAUCGGAACGUGCCCGAUCGUGGGGGAUAACGCAGCGAAAGCUGUGCUAAUACCGCAUACGAUCUACGGAUGAAAGCGGGGGAUCGCAAGACCUCGCGCGGACGGAGCGGCCGAUGGCAGAUUAGGUAGUUGGUGGGAUAAAAGCUUACCAAGCCGACGAUCUGUAGCUGGUCUGAGAGGACGACCAGCCACACUGGGACUGAGACACGGCCCAGACUCCUACGGGAGGCAGCAGUGGGGAAUUUUGGACAAUGGGGGAAACCCUGAUCCAGCCAUGCCGCGUGCAGGAUGAAGGCCUUCGGUUGUAAACUGCUUUGUACGGUAACGAAAGGUACCGUUUCUAAUAAAGAAGGGACGUCAUGACGGUACCGUAAGAAUAAGACACGCCGUAACUACGUAGCCACGCAGCCGCGGU
rnacentral:rRNA from 1 species